rnacentral:rRNA from 1 species
UACGUAGGGGGCAAGCGUUGUCCGGAAUUAUUGGGCGUAAAGCGCGUGUAGGCGGCUCGGUAAGUCUGCUGUGAAAGUCCAGGGCUCAACCCUGGAAUGCCGGUGGAUACUGUCGAGCUAGAGUCCGGAAGAGGCGAGUGGAAUUCCUGGUGUAGCGGUGAAAUGCGCAGAUAUCAGGAGGAACACCAAUGGCGAAGGCAGCUCGCUGGGACGGUACUGACGCUGAGGCACGAAAGCGUGGGGAGCAAACAGG